GGUGAUGUGGCUCAGUUGGCAGAGUGCUUGCCUGGCAUGCCCACAGCCGUGGGUUCAAUCCCCAGCACCACCA
rnacentral:tRNA from 1 species